GCAUAUCAAUAAGCGGAGGAAAAGAAAAUAACAAUGAUUCCCUUAGUAACGGCGAGUGAAGGGGGAUAAGCUCAAAUUUUAAAUCUACCAGGUUAACCUGGUCGAGUUGUAAUUUGAAGAAGCGUCUUCCGCGUCCGGGUCGGCCCAAAUCCUUUGGGAUAAGGUAUCAUGGAGGGUGAGAAUCCCGUUCGGCUGACCUCAGGAUGCUUUACGAUACGCUCUCAAAGAGUCGAGUUGUUUGGGAUUGCAGCUCAAAAUGGGAGGUAAAUUUCUCCUAAGGCUAAAUACCGGCGAGAGACCGAUAGCGAACAAGUACCGUGAGGGAAAGAUGAAAAGAACUUUGAAAAGAGAGUUAAAUAGUACGUGAAAUUGUUGAAAGGGAAACGAUUGAAGUCAGUCGUACCGGCGGGAAAUCAGCUUUUCGAGUGGGGGUUCGCGGGUGCGUGGAGCUUCGGCCUUCGUCGCUUGUGACACCUUUUGCUUCUGGAGCGUACUUUUCCGUGUGGUAGGUCAACAUCGGUUUCGAUUGCCAUAAAAUGACCGGAGGAAUGUGGCUUCGAUCUUGUAUUGGAGUGUUAUAGCCUCUGGUAGAUGUGGUGGUUGGGAUCGAGGAUUGCAACGAAUACCCUUGGGCUAUCCGCCUGACCUCUGAAAAGUCGCUUGGGUACCGAAAGCUUGCUUACGGGUCAUUCAAGUUGGCGGUCAAAAGGUUAAGAACGUGAUUAAAUUUCGUUAAGGAUGUUGACGUA
rnacentral:rRNA from 1 species